ACAGCGGUGCCCGUUUAUGCUGCGAUUGAUGGCUGGAAGUCCAAUGGCACCCCACUCCAGUACUCUUGCCUGGAAAGUCCCAUGGACAGAGGAGCCUGGUAGGCUGCAGUCCACGGGAUCGCGAAGAGUCGGACACGACUGAAGCGACUUAGCAGUAGCAGCAGCAGAUGGCUGAAAAUCAGAGCAUGUUGUGCUGGAGAUCACGGAGUUUGAACAAAAAUGAAUAAUGAACAUCUUUACGUGGAGUUCUCCCGAACCAAUUCCAAGAGGUGGACUAGAAGGCUGGAGUAUGACGGAUGACAACCACCAUCAAUUAGGAACAGGAAAACUAAUGGUUGCUGCUAGAUGCUCUGUGUCACCAGUCAGAUUGGCAAAAACUAAAAAGGAUGAUAAGAUCCUAUUUUGGUUAAUGUGUGAGCACAUAUAAGGACUUAAAUGGUCUUGAGUAUAGGUUAAUUUAGCCAUUGUUAUU